rnacentral:rRNA from 1 species
CCUACGGGAGGCAGCAGUGGGGAAUAUUGCACAAUGGGGGAAACCCUGAUGCAGCGACGCCGCGUGAGCGAAGAAGUACCUCGGUAUGUAAAGCUCUAUCAGCAGGGAAGAAAGUGACAGUACCUGACUAAGAAGCCCCGGCUAACUACGUGCCAGCAGCCGCGGUAAU